GUAUGUAUAGCUGAGUAGUAGAGUGCAUGCCUAGCAUUCAUGAGGUCUUGGGUUCCAUGCCCAGUACCUCCA
rnacentral:tRNA from 1 species